UACAGAGGAGCCAAGCGUUGUCCGGAUUGACUGGGCGUAAAGCGCACGCAGGCGGCUGCGCAAGUCGGUUGUGAAAUUCCGGGGCUCAACCCCGGAACUGCGUCCGAUACUGCGUGGCUAGAGGUAGGUAGGGGAGAUCGGAAUUCCUGGUGUAGCGGUGAAAUGCGCAGAUAUCAGGAGGAACACCGGUGGCGAAGGCGGAUCUCUGGGCCUUACCUGACGCUCAGGCGCGAAAGCUAGGGGAGCGAACAGG
rnacentral:rRNA from 1 species